rnacentral:rRNA from 1 species
CGUAGGGCGCAAGCGUUGUCCGGAAUUAUUGGGCGUAAAGAGCUCGUAGGCGGCUUGUCACGUCGGGUGUGAAAGCCCGGGGCUUAACCCCGGGUCUGCAUUCGAUACGGGCUAGCUAGAGUGUGGUAGGGGAGAUCGGAAUUCCUGGUGUAGCGGUGAAAUGCGCAGAUAUCAGGAGGAACACCGGUGGCGAAGGCGGAUCUCUGGGCCAUUACUGACGCUGAGGAGCGAAAGCGUGGGGAGCGAACAGGAUUAGAUACCCUGGUAGUCCACGCCGUAAACGGUGGGAACUAGGUGUUGGCGACAUUCCACGUCGUCGGUGCCGCAGCUAACGCAUUAAGUUCCCCGCCUGGGGAGUACGGCCGCAAGGCUA